rnacentral:tRNA from 1 species
GCCUGGAUGGCUCAGUCCAAAGAGCAUGUGACUCUUGAUCUCAGGGUUGUGGGUUUAAGCCCCACUUUGGAUU